rnacentral:misc_RNA from 1 species
AUUGGCGGGAUUUCGCCGUCUUCGUUUCUCUUUCUUCGCGGACGAACACGCGCCAGGGCUGAGCGCUGUGCGACGCACCGAUGAUAAGUCGGGUGCGCGCCGGCAUGUCCCUCGUGUUAGGGGCUUGUAGCUCAGUUGGUUAGAGCGCGCGCUUGAUAAGCGUGAGGUCGGAAGUUCAAGUCUUCCCAGGCCCACCAGCCUUCGCUGCUUUGCAGCUUCGGCUCGGCAGGCCCUUCUUGAACGAAGGCUGCUGCGCCGUAGCGCCAGCGAAGGCGAGCGUAAGCAUUCGUCUUCUGGUACGGGGCCAUAGCUCAGCUGGGAGAGCGCGUGCUUUGCAAGCAUGAGGUCGUCGGUUCGAUCCCGUCUGGCUCCACCAGAUGGAAUUGAAGCUCGAGUAUGCCUCGUCAAUAUCGUCCGCGAAACAUCACUUCGCACUCAUUGGUCCGGAUGGACGGUGACGUGCGUGUUUUCUGACAUCGUAAAGAGGAGAUCGGUCCGAGUUUGGAUCUGCGAAGCAAUUCGCGGGUACCAUUCAUAAUCUCCAGAUCGUUUUCGGCGCUCGCGCAUCGCCGCUCAUCGCAAGAUGAGUGAGAUGAGCGAGUUGUAAAACGAUCUUUUUAGCGAAGCUUGACCGCCUCGCUAUCGGGCCGAUCUUACGAAGCAAGCUGGUCUUUCUAGUCAAUGUCCGGCUGCGCGAUCGCAUUCAUCGAGGAUGCGCGCCUUCAGUGGCAAUUGUGCAGACAACAUUCUGCCGAGUGUGUGGACAUUGAUAAUGAGAGCAAUCAAGUGCCUUAAGGGUGUUCGGUGGAUGCCUUGGCGCUGAGAGGCGAUGAAGGACGUGCUACGCUGCGAUAAGCC